rnacentral:rRNA from 1 species
UACGUAGGGUGCGAGCGUUGUCCGGAAUUAUUGGGCGUAAAGAGCUUGUAGGCGGUUUGUCGCGUCUGCUGUGAAAUCCCGGGGCUUAACUCCGGGUGUGCAGUGGGUACGGGCAGGCUAGAGUGUGGUAGGGGAGACUGGAAUUCCUGGUGUAGCGGUGAAAUGCGCAGAUAUCAGGAGGAACACCGAUGGCGAAGGCAGGUCUCUGGGCCAUUACUGACGCUGAGAAGCGAAAGCAUGGGGAGCAAACAGG